AGGGCACCACCAGGAGUGGAGCCUGCGGCUUAAUUUGACUCAACACGGGAAAACUUACCUGGUCCUGACACUAGAAGGAUCGACAGAUUGAUAGCUCUUUCUUGAUUUGGUGGAUGGUGGUGCAUGGCCGUUCUUAGUUGGUGGAGUGAUUUGUCUGGUUAAUUCCGAUAACGAACGAGACUCUAGCCUAUUAAAUAACACACAGAAUCUUGUCUUCUGUGGCGUUUCUUAAUGGGAUCAAGUGUGUUUAACGCUUUGAAACAGAGCAAUAACAGGUCUGUGAUGCCCUUAGAUGUUCGGGGCCGCACGCGCGCUACAUUGAGAGACAAAAUGAGUUUUCUAGCCUUUAAUAAGGCUAGUAAUCUUUGAAUGUUUUUCUUAAUGGGGAUAGGGGAUUGCAAUUGUGCCCCUUGAACGAGGAAUUCCCAGUAAGUGCUAGUCAUUAGCUAGUACUGAUUACGUCCCUGCCCUUUGUACACACCGCCCGUCGCUACUACCGAUUGAAUGGUUUAGUGAGAU
rnacentral:rRNA from 1 species